rnacentral:rRNA from 1 species
GGGGGCCCGCAAGCGGUGGAGCAUGUGGUUCAAUUCGACGCAACGCGAAGAACCUUACCUGGGCUCGAAAUGUAGCGGAAUCGGGUGGAAACAUCCGCGUCUCGCAAGAGACUGCUAUAUAGGUGCUGCAUGGCUGUCGUCAGCUCGUGUCGUGAGAUGUUGGGUUAAGUCCCGCAACGAGCGCAACCCUUAUCCCUAGUUGCCAUCGGGUCAAGCCGGGCACUCUAGUGAAACCGCCCAGGAUAACUGGGAGGAAGGUGGGGAUGACGUCAAGUCCUCAUGGCCUUUAUGUCCAGGGCUACACACGUGCUACAAUGGUCGGUACAAACCGUCGCAAACCCGUGAGGGGGAGCUAAUCGGAAAAAGCCGGCCUCAGUUCGGAUUGGAGUCUGCAACCCGACUCCAUGAAGCUGGAAUCGCUAGUAAUCGCGGAUCAGAACGCCGCGGUGAAUACGUUCCCGGGCCUUGUACACACC